AGGACGAACGCUGGCGGCGUGCUUAACACAUGCAAGUCGAACGGAAAGGCCCUUUCGGGGGUACACGAGCGGCGAACGGGUGAGUAACACGUGGGUAACCUGCCCUGUACUGUGGGAUAAGCCUGGGAAACUGGGUCUAAUACCGCAUAUGACUGCAUCCUGCAUGGGGUGUGGUGGAAAGUUCUGGCGGUACAGGAUGGGCCCGCGGCCUAUCAGCUUGUUGGUGGGUGAUGGCCUACCAAGGCGACGACGGGUA
rnacentral:rRNA from 1 species